CCUACGUGAGGCAGCAGUGGGGGAUAUUGCACAAUGGGGGGAACCCUGAUGCAGCGACGCCGCGUGGGUGAAGGAGUGCUUCGGCAUGUAAAGCCCUAUCGGCAGGGAAGAAGCAAGACGUUACCUGACUAAGAAGCCCCGGCUAACUACUGGCCAGCAGCCGCGGUAAUACGGAGGGGGCGACCGUUAUCCGGAUUCACUGGGGGUAAAGGGAGCGUAGACGGCGAUGCAAGCCAGGAGUGAAAGCCCGGGGCCCACCCCCGGUACUGCCCUUGGAACUGGGCGGCUAGAGUGCGGGAGGGGCAGGCGGAAUUCCUGGUGUAGCGGUGAAAUGCGUAGAUAUUAGGAGGAA
rnacentral:rRNA from 1 species